GCACGGGUGCGUAACGCGUAUCGAACCUACCACAUACUCAGGGAUAGCCUUGCGAAAGUAAGAUUAAUACCUGAUGUUGUUUAGUGUCCGCAUGGAGAUUAAACCAAAGAUUUAUUGGUAUGUGAUGGCGAUGCGUCUGAUUAGGUAGUAGGCGGGGUAACGGCCCACCUAGCCAUCGAUCAGUAGGGGUUCUGAGAGGAAGGUCCCCCACAUUGGAACUGAGACACGGUCCAAACUCC
rnacentral:rRNA from 1 species